rnacentral:rRNA from 1 species
UCGGGAAUUUUGGGCAAUGGGCGAAAGCCUGACCCAGCAACGCCGCGUGAAGGAUGAAGUAUUUCGGUAUGUAAACUUCGAAAGAAUAGGAAGAAUAAAUGACGGUACUAUUUAUAAGGUCCGGCUAACUACGUGCCAGCAGCCGCGGUAAUACGUAGGGACCAAGCGUUGUUCGGAUUUACUGGGCGUAAAGGGCGCGUAGGCGGCAAUUCAAGUCAUCUGUGAAAUCUCCGGGCUUAACUCGGAACGGUCAGAUGAUACUGCUUUGCUAGAGUGCAGAAGGGGCAAUCGGAAUUCUUGGUGUAGCGGUGAAAUGCGUAGAUAUCAAGAGGAACACCUGAGGUGAAGACGGGUUGCUGGGCUGACACUGACGCUGAGGCGCGAAAGCCAGGGGAGCAAACGGGGAUUAGAUACCCCCGUAGUCCCUGAGCGGGCUGGCAAGGCGCAU